rnacentral:rRNA from 1 species
GACGUAGGGGGCGAGCGUUGUCCGGAUUUAUUGGGCGUAAAGCGUGCGUAGGCGGCUGCGCAAGUCGGUUGUGAAACCCCGGGGCUCAACCCCGGAACUGCAUCCGAUACUGCGUGGCUAGAGGUAGGUAGGGGAGAUCGGAAUUCCUGGUGUAGCGGUGAAAUGACGCAGAGUAUCAGGAGGAACACCGGUGGCGAAGGCGGAUCUCUGGGCCUUACCUGACGCUCAGGCACGAAAGCUAGGGGAGCGAACAGG